rnacentral:piRNA from 1 species
UGAAUACUUGCUGAAAGUGGAGAGA